GAAUAUUGGUCAAUGGACACAAGUCUGAACCAGCCAUGCCGCGUGGAGGAUGAAGGUCCUCUGGAUUGUAAACUUCUUUUAUCUGGGAAGAAAUCCAUAUUUUCUAAUGUGGUUGACGGUACCAGACGAAUAAGCACCGGCUAACUCCGUGCCAGCAGCCGCGGUAAUACGGAGGGUGCAAGCGUUAUCCGGAUUCACUGGGUUUAAAGGGUGCGUAGGUGGAUUGCCAAGUCCGUGGUGAAAUCUCUGAGCUUAACUCAGAAACUGCCGUGGAUACUGGUAAUCUUGAAUACCGUGGAGGUUAGCGGAAUAUGUCAUGUAGCGGUGAAAUGCUUAGAUAUGACAUAGAACACCGAUUGCGAAGGCAGCUGACUACACGGUGAUUGACACUGAGGCACGAAAGCGUGGGGAUCAAACAGGA
rnacentral:rRNA from 1 species